rnacentral:sRNA from 1 species
CUUUGCUGCCCUGCAUGUUGGAUGUUCAGCACCACGUACAAGGUCCUCAACUCCAUAUAUUUGUGUGAACGGACAGUGUUUGUCUUUCUCUUUCUGACUUACUUCACGCGGUAUAGUAGGCUCCACGUUCAUUCCAUCUCAUUAGAACUGACAUGGACGCGUUCCAUGUUAGUGCUGUGUAAGACACCGCUGUGUAUGUGUACUCCAACUUCCUUAUCCCUUCAUCUGCUGAUGGACACGUAGGCUGCUUCCACGUCCUAGCUAUUGUAAAUAGUUCUACGCUGAAGACUGGGAUACCUGUUUUUUACUCUGUGCUUCUAGGGCAUGUAAACGUUCACAGACACACCCCCCUGGGAACUGACUUGAAAGAAUCAAGCUGUCUUUAGAGUUUCCGGGGAGGGUAAGUGUACAUAUCUCUGUCUCUCUGUUUUGAAAGGAACCCGAUCCCCCCAGCUUUUGAGACACUUAACGGUGGCGUGCCCCCCUUCACCUAAAACAGAAAACCGAAGAAGCUGCUUCACGUGAAGACCAAUGGCCAGCAUAGUUCUCUUGGACGGGAAAGUAGUGAAGAGUGGUCUGGUGCUGAAGUGGAUCGACAGUGAGACACCAGUAACCCUGAAUUCACUGUAAAGGAAAAAUAAAAAGCAUCAGCUGAAAAAAAAAAA